rnacentral:miRNA from 1 species
ACUCUGUCAUGUAUAUAUGUAUACACACACACACAUGUAUGCAUAUAUAUGUGUGUGUGUAUACAUACAUAUAUGCUCGUAUAUAUG